CAGUGCGGAGCCGCGGGCCGGAGGCGGAGGGAGCGAUGGAGCCGGGAUAUGGCGGUUAUGGCACCUGGAAUACUGGGGCUGCCAACACUCAAGGUACAUAUGGGACAAAUGCAACAAGUUGGCAAGGCUAUGAAGGCUACGACUACUACAACACCCAAACCACUGCCACAAACUCAGCAGCCACCUACAACUAUGCAGCUGCCACCUCCAGCAGCUGGGAAACCCCCAAAACCUCAGAGCUGAGCCUCAACGCCGAGGUCGGCGCCGCCUCUGUGCCCGUCGCCUCCUACGGCCCCGAGACGGCGGCCAACGAGAACUCAGAUUCCAUCAUUGCCAAAAUCAACCAACGUUUGGAUAUGUUGUCCAAGGAAGGCAGUGGUGGGACAGGGGAGGGCAUGGAGGAGCAGGAGAGCUCUUUCCGUUUCGAGUCCUUCGACUCCUACGACUCCAGGUCCUCUCUCAACGACCGCGAGCUCUACCGGGGCGGUUAUGAGUACGGCGAGGUGGGGGCCGAGCGCGGCGAUUCCUUCGGCAGCCAUUUUGAGAGCCGCCGGGAUCAGCCCCGCGCCCGCGGCAACGGCUACGGCGCCAUCCGCGGGCGGGGCCAGAACCGGGGCCAGAACCGGGGCCGCCUCAGCGCCUUCAACCGCGGCGACCACUUCAUCCCCUCCUCCAGCUCCGAGCGCCUCUCGGCUCGGUGGAAUGAGCUCAACUACAUGGGGGGCCGUGGGAUGGGGGGGGGAGGCUCCAACCGGCUCCCAUCCCUCUUUUCCCAAGCCCUGGUUCCCGAUUAUGGAGAUUACGGAGAUUAUGGAGAUUACGGUGAUUAUGGAGAUUAUGGAGAUUAUGGUGAUUAUGGUGAUUACGGCGAUUAUGGAGACUACGGCGACUACGGCAUGAUGGGGAUGUCGGGCAUGGGAAUGGGACGCUACGGGAACGUGCCCUAUGGAAUGGGGAGGCAACGCAACAGGGACCGGAUGGGCGCGGUGCCCUGGCACAUGAACACCCUGGCGCCCAAAAGAAGAGGAUUCCGGAACCGCUCCGGGGGGCGAUCGGACGGCGAGGGGGGAGGACGCAAACGGAAGCAAUCCCAGAGUGGGGAGGAACCUGACAGCAAACACCCCAAAACUGACAGCGAGGGGGAUGACACCGAGAAUGAUGAGGGUGAAGGAGAGGAAAAAUCAGGAGAUGAAGCUGACAAAGCAUCUGGAGAUGGCUGCGAAGAGGACGAUGAGGAGGUGAAAAAGAAGAGGGAGAAGCAGAGGAGAAGAGAUCGGAUGCGAGAUCGUGCCAUGGACAGGAUCCAGUUUGCCUGUUCUGUCUGCAAAUUCCGCAGCUUUGAGGAGGAGGAGAUCCAGAAACAUCUCCAGAGCAAGUUCCACAAGGAGACUCUGCGCUACAUCGGCACCAAACUCCCGGAUAAAACAGUGGAGUUCCUGCAGGAAUACAUCGUCAACAGGAAUAAAAAAAUCGAGAAGCGGCGCCAGGAGCUGACUGAGAAAGAGGGCACCAAGCAGAAGCCAGAUCCUUUUAAGGGGAUUGGCCAGGAACAUUUCUUCAAGAAGAUCGAGGCAGCUCACUGCAUGGCCUGUGACAUGCUGAUCCCUGCCCAGAACCACCUCCUCCAGAGGCACCUUCGGUCUGCUGAGCACAACCGGAACCGCAGGAUGGCUGCGGAGCAGUUCAAGAAAACCAGCUUACACGUUGCCAAGAGUGUCCUGAAUAACAAACACAUUGUCAAGAUGCUGGAGAAAUACCUCAAGGGUCCGCAGGGACGUCCACAUCUCCUCAUGAUCAACGGUAUCAAAGGCUGCCGGCAGAUCUAAAUGAAUCGGCACGGGCCAGCGGCAGGAGGAGAUCUCCAGAUCCAUCCCAGCACGGUCUCCGUCCCAUUCCCAAGGUGCAAAACCAGACUGGAAAGGGGUGGAGGAAAAUCAGGAUUGCAGGGAGAAGAUCCCUUCACGGAUGAAAUCACGGAUCAAGACGUGGAGGAAAACUUGGAAGGUGGAGAUGGCGCCGUGGAAGGAGCCCCCGAAAAUCCCCCCCCCAACCCCAGCACCACCGAGGUCACCCAAGGAGGAGAAGGAGGAGGAGGGGGAGGAGGAACGGGAGAAGCUGUGGAAGCUUCUGAAGAGUUUCCCAAACCUGAGGAAUUCCUUAAAAAUCUGGGUGAACACGACCAGCCCCCCAAGCCCCUGCUGAUGCCGCCGUUCCUGCAAGACGAUGAGCUGGAAGCAGAGGAGAUGACGUCAGAGGUGACGUCAGAGGUGACAUCACAAGCAGCAGCGACUACAGAAGCCAUGGAAGAGCCCCCUGCCCUUCCUGAAAACCCCCCCAGAUCCCCUGUUCCCCCCCAAAAUGAAACUGAGGGUCGGGUGGGCAAAGAGGAGGAGAUGGAAAACGGGAACGUGGCAGCGGCUGCGAGCGGCGAGGAGGAGGAGGAGGAGGAGGAAGAGGCUCCAGCAGCAGAGCCCAAAGCAGAGUAACUGUGAAUAUUGGUGUGAAGCUGAUGAUGUAACCCCCGAACCCCCACUUUUGAUUUAUUAUUCUUUUUUUUUUUUUUUUGUCUCUUGAGCACAGCACCCAAACGGGGCUGGUUUGGGUUGGAGCGGAGGGGACCCGGCUGCUUCCUUC